AUGAGAGCCAUGAAAAGCAAAGGAGAAAGGAUCCUCCUCUCAGAAGGAGAAAGCUUUAUGGUUUCCUCCUGUGCGUACUGGGCACGUGAGGGCAGUUUUGCUGAGUCCGGUGCGGGGGACAAGGGCAGCUCUGGGGUCAGCUUUCAGCCAAAGCCUCUGGGGGUUCUGCUGGUGGCAUCUUUGGGGGCAAAGUGUCCCAUGGAAAUUUUGUGUUCCUACACAGGUCCGCCUCGGAUGGUCUCCAUCUCGCAGAGCUCCGUUAGAAAGCAGCAAGCCCCAGCUGAACGUGGACCUGCACUGUCAGCACCUGCCAGGCCCCAAACUGAUGAAAGUGAAGAAGGGAAUCUUCCACAUGGCUGCAUCUUGAAAAGCAGGUGCCGCAGUGAUUGCUUCCUACCCGAACACGCUGCGCUACGCCAAGGGACUGGCCAGGUAGGAUGCAUACAGGGCAGCCACUAGGAAUCUCUGCCUUCUCCCCCGUGCCUGCUUCUGCCUCUCUGUCCUCAGGUAUUUGUUGAGCUGGCUGGAAAUGGUUCUCUUGGCUUGCAGCACCAUCCCAACCUUGGCUGCUCUAAUUCCGCCUGCUUUGAAGGACCGCAGCAAAAGGUUUGUCAGAGAACAGCAGGCUUAGCUGGUGCAGAUAUGCUUCAGCAGCAGACUGUAGUGGUGUCAGCUGAGGGAGUCUGUGAAAGGUAGAGAGGCAGUCAUUUUAUUUUGUCUUUCUGCCAGUUGUCCCAUUGCCCAGAGUAUGUGAUUUGUGAGUUUCCUUUGGCAAAGUUGCUCCAUUGCUCAUAUAUCUCUGAGCAGUGUUUCCAGGUCAUUUGGUCCGCAGGGUGGUGGCCAUCUUUUAUUUCAAGAGGGAGAGGGUUCAGGGGUAGGAUCAGAUGUGUUGAGGAGAUGGCAGUCAGGUGGAGAUCAAGUUAGUGUUGUCAAAUUUAUUUCUAGCAUGGGAAAGGUGAGUAUUAGCGAGAGGAGCAAGCCUGAAAGAUGUCCUUUGAGACAAGGCGAGGAAGAAAAAAGACUUGGGAUGCAACUUUGGCUAUACAGCAAGAUGUGGUAAGAUUCUUCUGAAUUUUUGGGGCCACAACUUUACCAUUAAUGUUUUUAUAAGGAUAUUUCAAGCACACAAUAUAUGGAAAUAUUUCAUUUCCAUAUACAAAAACAAAGGAAAAAAAAAAAGCAGGGUUUGACUGAUGCUUGACUUAAUAGUAUUGUGAGUUGUGAUCCUGAAGAACUGUGUUCAGACAUAACCAAUGCACUGAACCCUGUGAAAGGGAAAUCCCUUCCCAGCAUGAACCCAUUGAAGUUGGUGGAAUUAAAGCAGGUUGUCAUAAAGCCACAGAAUUAAACUAUGGAGUUCAUUCCCACCAUUCAGGUGGCUGCACCACUAAACUGUCCGUGACAUAAAUUAUUUUCAUUGUCCACAAUAGGAUCCAGACAUUAAAUAAGUGGUCUUUAAAUGCUGCUCCUUCUACACCAAGCUGGAUUUGCUUUGCCGUGUGAUACUGCUAUGUUCCAGGUGCCAUGCGUGGUGCCCCACAGGCCUUGCUGCCAGGGUAGUCGAGCCUAGCAUCUUUACUGUGCCCGAUGAAGGAGGUUUAGUCUUCAACCAACCAUUUCUGAGUCUGUAAAUAAACCAAUGUUAAGGAAAAAAGCA
ensembl:lncRNA